AUGGCUUUUCAUCAAUUUCUCCCAUUCUCUUUAUUCCAAUAGUAGUCCUAACAGUUGAGGACAACGUAUCUUUCAAAACCUGAAUUAAUUCUUUACGCCCUUCUUGUAGCUCAUCAUUGAUCUGACGCUCUUUCAUGAUAAGAGUUUGAUUAAGAGAUUCCACAUAAGCCAAAUCUUCAUCUUUCUGCNNNNCCCAGUUCAGCAGUCAUCACCUCCAACUUCAUUUGAAGAGCUGUAUUAUUAGCAUUACCGAGAUGCUUCAUCAUCUGAAUUUUCGCUUUUAAGCUUUUAAUUUCCAAUUCCAAC
rnacentral:misc_RNA from 1 species